rnacentral:rRNA from 1 species
AUUGAACGCUGGCGGAAUGCUUUACACAUGCAAGUCGAACGGUAGAGGGGGCGACCCCUCGAGAGUGGCGAACGGGUGAGUAAUAUAUCGGAACGUGCCCAGUCGUGGGGAUAACGUAGCGAAAGUUACGCUAAUACCGCAUACGAUCUAAGGAUGAAAGCGGGGGAUCGCAAGACCUCGCGCGAUUGGAGCGGCCGAUAUCAGAUUAGGUAGUUGGUGGGGUAAAGGCUCACCAAGCCAACGAUCUGUAGCUGGUCUGAGAGGACGACCAGCCACACUGGAACUGAGACACGGUCCAGACUCCUACGGGAGGCAGCAGUGGGGAAUUUUGGACAAUGGACGAAAGUCUGAUCCAGCCAUUCCGCGUGCAGGAUGAAGGCC